ensembl:lncRNA
CUCUGCUAUGUGUAGGGUCACCAACAACCAGACCAGGCCGCCCAGAGCCACAUCCAACCUGGCCUUGAAUGCCUGCAGGGAUGGGGCAUCCACAGAGGGCAACCUCUUCCAGUGCGUCACCACCCUCUGUAUGAACAACUUCCUACUCCCUGGAUGUGUACCAUAUCCAGUAAAGAAGUUCAUAGUAAGCAAAUGAAGGCAAACAAGAACAAAGUGCAAGUCUAAUAGUUUUUCUGGCUUUGGCUACUCAUUUCAGAUAGAAAAUAGCACCUGGUAAUCUUCUACUGCUUUAAGGUAAUGACCUGGACAAUAUUUUUGCGAUUGUCAAUGUAAUACACAGCCAAAUCCCUUUAUGCCUUCAGUCAGUAUCAAGUCACUGAUAAAUCAAACUCCCAUGCAGUACCACAGCCAUCCAUUGGCAUUGCUUGCUGAUUGUAAAUGGCAGUAGGGUUUCCUUGAGAAGCUCACUCUGUAGAAAUGAUCCUGCUCUUAAAUAUUAUAUAGGUACCUCCAUUCCAAGUUUGUUUGUGCUUUCCUCAGCAGAUGUAGGCACACCUUGUUUAUAAAGCUCCAGCUAAGCUUGCUUUUUUUUUUCAGCCCUUCAAAGAGCACUACCAAUAACAACCUUUUAGAACCUGGAUAUGUUUGAAAUCUUGCUAAUCCUAAAGCAAAUAGAUCUAAAGAACCAGCAAGCUGAACCAUGCAGAAAAUACAGGCUGCAAAAAUUCUAGCCUACAUCCAUCCUGGUCAUGGAAGGAGACAACUGAUGGUUGCUCCAGGGCUCCCGGAUGACAGCUGCCUUGACAAUGGCUAGAUGAGCAAGCAAGGAUACCAGAAGUGAAGCUGUGUGCAUCUCUUGCCUCUGUAAGGGAAAAAGGAACUCUUGGUCACAUCCCAACCAUGGAAAUAUCUCAAUAUUUUCAGUGCAUGAGAGAUAGAUACAAUAACAAAUAGCACAGUGAUUUUUACACCUAUGCUACAUAAUCAUUUAGCCACUUCUUCAGUUGCACAACAGAACUUUGCACUCUUUUGGAGUUUCAUUCUGCAGAGUGAAGAACAAGAGCAGUAGCUUUCAAUUAUUUUACAGGCACUGCAAUGUGGCAGCAAUGGAUUGCAGACAAUCAUGAGCUGAGUUUGAAACAGGCAGCUCUAGCACUUACAACAGGAUAAAGUGGCACAGGGAGCUCAGCACUUUAAUGCCAAGUAGGUUGUAUUUUGCCUCCCAAGCAACAUGGUCACAUGUGGAACUCCACAUAACCAUGGCUUCAAGCAUCCAGCUUUGCUAGCUUAUAUACCACUUUGCUGCAAUGAAGAGAUAUGGAAGCUACAAAGGAGGCCUAGCAAGGAGCAUUUCAUAUGCAGGCUUGAGGAUACUUAAAUAGAGUUGACUUCAAAUUGUUCUUUUGGGGAAAAAAAAAGACAACUAAAUCAGGAGAAAACAGGAUGUAUCUGAAUUGUUCUAACAAAUUCUUAAUGAUAAUUGAAAAUAUUUUAAGUUGAAACAACUCCUUUUCCUCUCCUGCUCCUUCAAGCUCUCUAAGGCUGUGUUUAGAAAACACUGAAGUCAAACUGACCACUUGGUAAAUGGGGGGUUCUGAAAUUAGUGAGGCUGAACCUCAGCUGAAGUUGUCUAAGCCAUUGGUUGCUGGCUUUGAAUUCGUUCUCAUAAAGUUGCUCACAGCAGCGACACAUUUGGAAAUGCAGAGAUGACUUAAGAAAAGGGUUAUAAAAGACUUUACUAAUGAAUGUGUGUCACAACUGCUUUGGCUCUUGUUCCCAUAGCAUACUUCCAACAAAAUCAAAUGUAGAUUCCUAAGGGCAUAAGUUGGAAGUCAUCCUGCCUCAAAGAGCUUGGACCUCUCUCUUAAGUAGGACAGAACUCUGCUGAGACCUCACGGAAGUAUUGACUGCAAAUGACUGUGGGCAACAAUUUCAAAGAACCUUCAGAGAUUUACUUGUAUAGUUAUUGUCUCUUAAGAGAGAGAGAGAGAGUUAAUAGGUACAGUUGCUUUAUUCAUGAAUCUCAGAAUUAAUUUUAAUCCAGCAUUCUAAUAAGUGUUCAAGGCAUUUUACUUCAUCGUUUUCAGGUCUUGUCCCCUAGACAAAAAGGUCUAUUUUUAACUUGUACCACUUCAAUCAAGUUACAACCUGAAAUUAGUAAUACAACUCAACCUACUAACUGGUGCAUGGAAUAGUUAAACAGAGGUCACAGUAAAUGCCAGCAGCACUUUCUGUAAAACAAAUACACAACAAGCAAAGACAUGACCAGUCAGUAAAUAAAGGUGAGUUGAAAUCAACUUUGUUGGAAAGGAAAAGUGUUAUAAUGAAAUUACAGUGCUUUGGAAGACUUAAAGUGAUGUCCACCAUAAAAGAUAAAAUUAAUUUACUGGAAAUAAACUUGUGAAUAUGAGUACCAUUUUGUGAAAGGCCAAGUUCUGACAUUUAGUAAAGCUGUAAAAAUGUUUUUGAAAGCAGCCCUUCAUUGUGAUUAUCACUGUUCUUAUGCAUUAAAAUUGAAAGAACUAAGAAAGACCAAAAAGG